UGAAUACGAGAUGCUACGGCGUCGAAGCAGUCUAUGUCAUACUUCCAAGAAAAGCUUGCACUGUCAUAAACAAAUAAUGCCUGUACCAUAACCGACACAGGUGGGUAGGUAGAGUAUACUAAGGGGCGCGAGAUAACUCUCUCUAAGGAACUCGGCAAAAUGACUCCGUAACUUCGGGAGAAGGAGUGCCUUAUUUAUAAGGUUGCAAUAACAAGAUCCAAGCAACUGUUUACCAAAAACACAGGUCUCCGCUAAGUCGUAAGACGAUGUAUGGGGGCUGACGCCUGCCCAGUGCCAGAAGGUUAAAGAAGUUGGUUAGCAUCCGCGAAGCUGAUAACUGAAGCCCUGGUGAACGGCGGCCGUAACUAUAACGGUCCUAAGGUAGCGAAAUUCCUUGUCGGGUAAGUUCCGACCCGCACGAAAGGCGUAAUGAUUUGGAUACUGUCUCGGAGAGGGGCUCGGUGAAAUAGACUUGUCUGUGAAGAUGCGGACUACCUGCACCAGGACAGAAAGACCCUAUGAAGCUUUACUGUAACCUGAAAUUGAAAUUGGACUUUACUUGCGCAGUAUAGGUGGGAGGCGUUGAGAAUAUUCUUGCGGGAUUAUUGGAGCCAUCAGUGAGAUACCACUCUUGUAAUGUUAGAUUUCUAACUUUGUAUCAUUAUCUGGUCAAAGAACAGUUUCAGGCGGGCAGUUUGACUGGGGCGGUCGCCUCCUAAACGGUAACGGAGGCGCACAAAGGUUUCCUCUGAACGGGUAGAAAUCGUAUCUAGAGUGUAAAGGCAUAAGGAAGCUUGACUGUGAGACCUACAAGUCGAGCAGGGACGAAAGUCGGUCUUAGUGAUCUGACGGUGCUGAGUGGAAAGGCCGUCACUCAACGGAUAAAAGUUACUCUAGGAUAACAGGCUGAUCUCCCCCAAGAGUUCACAUCGACGGGGAGGUUUGGCACCUCGAUGUCGGCUCAUCGCAUCCUGGGGCGGUAGUACGUCCCAAGGGUUGGGCUGUUCGCCCAUGAAAGCGGUACGCGAGCUGGGUUCAGAACGUCGUGAGACAGUUCGGUCCAUAUCCGGUGUAGGCGUUAGAAUAUUGAGAGGAGCCUUCUUUAGUACGAGAGGACCGAGAAGGACAUACCUCUGGUGUACCAGUUAUCGUGCCAACGGUAAACGCUGGGUAGCUAUGUGUGGAGUGGAUAACCGCUGAAAGCAUCUAAGUGGGAAGCCCACCUCAAGAUGAUUGCUCUCACAGGGUUAACCUGGUAAGGUCACGGGAAGACCACCCGUUGAUAGGCACUCGGUGGAAGUCCAGCAAUGGAUGAAGCCAAGGUGUACUAACAGACCGAGGGC
rnacentral:rRNA from 1 species